rnacentral:piRNA from 1 species
UGAAAUUGCUUUCCUUGAGAUGGCCUUGCU